UACGAAGGGGGCUAGCGUUGUUCGGAAUUACUGGGCGUAAAGCGCGCGUAGGCGGUGAUCUUUGUCAGAGGUGAAAGCCCGGGGCUCAACUCCGGAAUUGCCUUUGAAACGGGAUUGCUUGAGUCCGAGAGAGGAUGGCGGAAUUCCUAGUGUAGAGGUGAAAUUCGUAGAUAUUCGGAAGAACACCAGUGGCGAAGGCGGCUCACUGGCCCGGUUCUGACGCUGAGGUGCGAAAGCGUGGGGAGCAAACAGG
rnacentral:rRNA from 1 species